UGAUAAUGAAAAGAAAAGCAAAACAAAGUUAGAAAUUACUAGUAAUUAGAAGCGUUCAAACAGAAUAUAAAUAUAUACUUUUGUUCGUACAGAGGUAGACGUAAUAUAUGAAGAUUUACGAUAGGGUCUAACAAUUAAAGUCCCAGAGACAAUCUUCUUGAAGACAAGAAGUGAAAGGUCUAUUAAGAUCAAGAUUACCCAGACAAGAAGCAUCAGCCGAAACAUAAUCUCCCAGCACCUCGUCAGAUGAAACAAGAGACAUUACGUUUCCACAACCCAAACCAUCAAAGUCCAUCAGAUCAGAGAAGAGAUACUCAGACUGAAUUUUAUCAAAAUCGAUUUUAAGAUCUCCCAACAAUGAAGGAGAACUAGCUUGUUGAUCAAUCACGUUUUCCUUCACAGUAAGAAGACUGGUACUACCAAUACUACUCUGCUUCUGAAAUGUCAGAGCCUUUGGGCACCUAAUCGCCUUUGGACGUAUAACAGAUACUUUAUUCAUGUUGUUGUUGUUGGAAUGUUUUCGACUUUUCUGUUGGUUGGUUUGUGAUUUUGGAAGUCUUUUGCGGAGGUUUGAGUUCCAGUGGUUCUUUAUUUCAUUGUCUGUUCGCCCUGGAAGCCUCCCAGCUAUCAACGACCAUCUGCUUUACGCCGCUAACUUUUUUUUAGAAAGGAAGAGAAUGUUAUGUAUUUUGGUGAAAGCAAACGUUAGUAACCUGUUUCCAAGGAGAUUAUGGAGGCGGAUUAUAAGUUCUUCUUCAUCAGAUGAGAUGUUUCCGCGCUUUAUGCCUGGUCUCAAGUAGUUCUUCCACCGAAGUCUGCAGCUUUUGCCACACCUCUUGAGACCUUUAUAUUUUCGGAAACAAUGAUUUUAAACAUAUUGAUAUAAUCUUACAAUCAUUAAAAAGAAAAAUAAAAGAUGCACGGAUAUGUACCAGCUUGGUUUGGGAGUGUGCUCCAUUUUCCUUCGCCGUGGAACAUGAUAUAGUCUUUAAGGAUCUUGUCUUCUUGAUCGGUCCAAGCUCCUCUGUUUAACUCCUCUUUCUUCACCCUACUACUUUCUCUCUUUCUCAUCAUCUCUCUUGUUGUUGUGUGGUUGGUAGACUUGUCUUUAGCGUUGUGUUGAGAAUAGAUUAUGUUUCUGUGUAAAACCAAGUAUCUUUAUAGGGAGUUGUUGCAAUGUCCGUUACAUCAGUCGCUUUCCAUAACCUCUGUCACACACACACUUUUUAGUUUCAAUGCUUUUCUCACUUCACACCAUGAUUUACUAGUCUAGUCUUACGUGCUAAGUCUCUAACUGUCUAGUUCCUAAACCGACCUUGAUCAUCAUCGUAUAACAAAUUAGGCAUGACUGUGAAUGAUUGGUGAAAAUAGUCAUUCCUAGUCGCAUUCUAGCUUGUAAGCAACCAUCUUCACUGAACUAAGUGGUAAGAGCAUCCGCACUGCUAAUUGUUAAAAUUAAAUACUCACAAACAAAAAUAAUAAUUGUUAUUUUAACAUAAUAUAACUAAUACUAUUUAAGUUCCAAAAAUAACUAAUACUAUUAAAACAAAAAUAAAAUUAUGAAAAUAACUUUAUAUUUUCGUUUUAUGUUACAAAAAAUGCCACUAUAGUUUAUAACAAUCCCUAAUAUAUAUAUAUAUAUAUUUCUAAAAGGAAAUAAUCAAAAAGAUAUUCGUACAAGCUUUUCUAAGAUUACACUAAUAACUUUUACUUUAUAUUUUUGUGUCAAAUAUAAAUACAUAAUUAUAUUUAAUAGUAUUAUAACUUUGUAUGAAUCUAAAUAACUAAAUAUUCUUGUAAUGAAUAUUAAAUAAUUAUUAUACAUUGCUAUUACUUUAAUUUUUAAUUAUACACAUAAAAGAAAAUUCAUAAUAUUCUAUAUAAACAAUUAUAGCAUUAUUAAAUUAUUACAUUAAAUAAUAAAUACACUUAAAUAACUUAAUCUAUUCAUUAAUUUGUAAAUUAAAAAAUUAAAUUAAAUUAACUGUACACACAAAGUAGCAAAAAAUAUAGAAUUCAUAAUAUUAAGUCAAUGAUAAUCAUUUUAAUUUAAAUUAUUUAAAAUAUUAUAAAAGUAAAUAUUAAAUCAUUGAUAAUAAUUUAAUUUAAUAUUUAAAAAUAUAUAUAUAUAUAUAUUCAAAAUUAGAUAAAUAUAUAUCAUAUCAAUAUAUAUUUACUUGAUAAAAAUAAAAUAUUAAAGGCUUUAUUUACGCUUGAUAUUUGACCAAUACACGACAUGUUAAACGAUAUAUUACUCCAUCUCAAAUUUAAUAAAACUAAAACAAAUGAAAGACACAUAAAAUGAAUUAUUCUAUUUUGAUUAUUAUAUAGCUAUAUUUGUACCAAACUACAAUCAACUAAAGAAUAUUAAAAAAGGAAAUUUUAUACGACCAUAUGUUAUUCCGUAAAAAACUAUUGCAGCUCAACUCCAUAUCAAAUUUAUAAUGAUUACUUUAUUUAAUAAAAUAUGUUUAAAUUUAUGAUAUUGCAUUAUGGUACUGAUUACUUAAUAGCAUAACUAUAAAUAAUUAAUUUUUUUUUUAAUUUGUAUAUAAAAUUACUCUUUCCAAAUCUAAAAUAUGAAUAUAUUAAAUUAAGGCUUUUGUUUUAUUUCACAGAUUUAAGUCUAAAAAACUAAACUUAUAAACAUGUAAUAAAACUAAAAAUAACAUUUCUCAUAAAUUAUUUUCAUCUAAUUUUUAAAUAUUUAAAUAAAUAUAAAUAGAAUAGAGAUUAUAAUUUUUUUUAAAAAUUCAAAACUUUGAUUUAAGAAAUAAUAAAAAUAAAUAAUGUACACAAACUUAAAUAAAAAUAUAUAAAAAUAAAACACAUAAAUUAUGUAUGCACUUAUAAUUUCUAUUAAAUAAAAUUUUGUAAAAAAAAAAAUUGUGUACUUUAAAAGCGUUAAUCAAAAUCUAGUUAUCUAAAUAUAAGCGAAAACCAUAUGUCCAAAGGAGUUUUGUUGAGUUUCUUGAAAAUUUUCAAGUGAGAAACUCUUUCGUUCUUCUACUUUUACUUUUUAUUUAUUAUUUUAUUGGAAAGAUAUUUAUUGAGUUUCUACCGGUGGAUAUGUUCUAACACUUAUGAGAGUUCAGUAAUUUCAGAAUUUUUUCAGUCCAGAUAAGCGAAAGAUAUAUUUCCAGAAGAGUUUUGUGAGUUUUGUUUAAACGGCUUGAUUGUUAGUUCAUAUUCAAAAGUUAGACCAAGUACACCAUGCUGAAUUUAUGUCCUUGGGUAAACCGUAAAUCCUUGGAUAAAUCCUAAACACUAAAUAAAAAACAUUAAAACCCUAAACCCUAAACCCUAAACCCUAAACUCUUGAGUGUUUUAGUGUUUAGUGAUUUUGAUUUAAAGUUUAGGAUUUAUCCUAGACUUUAGGGUUUACCCAAGAGUUUAGGGUGUAGGAUUUAGGGUUUAGGGAUUAAGAUUUAGAGUUUAAUGUUUUGCUGACGAUGUUAAAAAUAUUUUUUUUGUAAUUACUACUAUUUUUUAUGUAUUUCUUUUUACCUUUUAAUUUUAAAAACAUAAUAUAAUUUGACAAUAUUUUGUUUCUUUUUUAAAAAAAUAUCGAAUAUGAAAUAACACAAUCAUAUUGGUUGGUGAACCUAGAAAGAAUAAGUCUAAUAAGAAUAAAUGAACAUAACAAAACAAACAGAAAAGCAUCUGAAAUUGAACAUAUAUAUGAACAAUGUUAGGUGGGGUGAUCAAUAAAGUUGAAUAUGAUAGGCCAAGAUAUAAUGGAAUCCUUGCUUAGUUAAAAUUGCACCAAUUUAAAUGCGUAAAGAUUUGGUGUGAAGACUUUGAACUUCACUCAUUUAUAGGAAACCUAUUAAUUGACUGAUCACCAAACUCGUUUCUUGUUUUUUCGUUUCAUCACAUACGUCACUUCUUUCAUUUCAUCAAACGAGAAGUAGUCGCUUCUACGUUCUAACCAAAAAGACGAUCGGCAAUAAAAUAGUACGAGAACAAGCCAUUAUAGUGCUUUUAUGUAAAGCUUCCAGUUCACUAAAUUUGCUUGCUUUAGGCCGAACACACUUUCUAAGUCUUGAGACCAUUUGAAGCAAAUCCAUUCAAUCAGUUAUAAAGUAGGGUCACCGGGUUACGCAUGUCUCGAUCUCUAACUAUUUUGCAAACCCGAUUUUAGGGAUUGGUAGAAGGGAAAAUAUCCUCAACACCAACUUUGAUAUAUACGAUAAUUCCAAGAAUGAAAUUUUUAAAAACUCCUUACAGUUAUGACUGUGUCUGCCUAUAAAUGGAUAUGAAUGUAUAUUUUCGUUAUACAAUAUUGUAAAGUCGAUUUGUAUCUAUCUACCAAGAACAAUAACACUGGUAAAGUUUUAAUGAUAGGGAUGGUUAAGCAGUAGUUAGGGUAUAAUAAAAGCUCUAUCAUUUGCGGCAUGCAUGAUGCACAUAAAUUGAACAUGUAAUCUAUCAAAAAAUGUAUUUCGCCAUUGCGUAUUUGCGAUAUCUUAUAAUCAUAUUAUAUAUGUUUGAAAGACAAAAAAAGCACUUCCAUAAUACUCGAAUUGUGAUAAAUAUUUGCAGACCUGAUAAUGAAAAGAAAAGCAAAACAAAGUUAGAAAUUACUAGUAAUUAGAAGCGUUCAAACAGAAUAUAAAUAUAUACUUUUGUUCGUACAGAGGUAGACGUAAUAUAUGAAGAUUUACGAUAGGGUCUAACAAUUAAAGUCCCAGAGACAAUCUUCUUGAAGACAAGAAGUGAAAGGUCUAUUAAGAUCAAGAUUACCCAGACAAGAAGCAUCAGCCGAAACAUAAUCUCCCAGCACCUCGUCAGAUGAAACAAGAGACAUUACGUUUCCACAACCCAAACCAUCAAAGUCCAUCAGAU
rnacentral:lncRNA from 1 species